UCGUAAAAAAUUGAAAAACAAAAUUUGCGGCUACAAAAAUUGUAACAAAAAAAAUCAACAACAACCAAAUUGUGCAGUUCUACCAACGCCAAACGUCAAAACGAGUCAAUGCAGCGUUGUUUUUGUUGUUAUUUGUUUAAUUUUUACUUGUCCAACAACGUAACGGCGGCGCGUGUAGUGCAGCAACAUCAUUAAAAAGUUUGCUAUUAUUCAAAGGGCAAGAAUAUACAAGAGCAAAACGAAAACAAAAAAAAAAAAAACAAACAAAAAACAAAACAUUACAAGAAUAAGUGGAAGAAAAGUAAAUAAAGAAAAUAAAAAUCAAACACAACAACAACAACAACAACAAUCAAGCAACCUUUCAAUAAACAUCAAACAUCGCCUAACACGCACAGCAGCAAACAACUCGAGCGCAUUGCGGGUGAAAAAAUUUUGCAUGCACUAAAUACAUAUAUGCACAUACAUAUGUACUUAUGUAUAGUGUUGUGGGUGUAAAGAAAAAAUAAAAAAAAAGAAACAAAAAAACAAAAAAUAACUGCAAAAGUGUAGAAAAACUUGGUCACGCGUGCAAAUUUAUCAGCAGCACAAAAACCACCAGCGCUUCAGCAGGUUUUUGUUUUGUCUAACCAACCAGCCGCCACCACCGACUGCGCGGCGCAGAGUUUGAGUCGCUGUUACGACGCUAUCUACGACUUUGCUGCAUUUUCUGGAUAAUUAGUAUGCGGUUUCAGUGAAAAAGUGAUAAAAUUUUCAAACAAAAGUGUACAAUUUCCUUUCAACUCACGUGAGCGCAGACCGAAUAUGCGCGUUGACAACUGCGGUAGCGAAUGCAAAACAAAUAAAUGCAACAAUAAAAUUGUAUUGCAACAUCAAAUAAGCCGCACAAUAAAAGCAAUAAAAUCGAAAUUAACAAAUUCAACAAGAAUAAUAAAAACAAAUAACCACAUUAUAAGUGCAGCUGUGGUGGCACACAAUUCGUGGUAGCCACGAUAAAGCAAAGUGGCAAUAAAGCAAUAAGCAACAAAGUAGAGUGAAAAAAAUGCGGUAAAAUAAAAACGUUUAAACCAAUCAAAUUAACAAUCAUUAAAAUAUUCAUAUAACGUUAAAUGCGUAAUUGGAGAGACCACUAAUACAUGCAUACAUAUGAUACAAACAAACAAACGUUUAUCAAGCAAACGGUAAGUGUAGAAUAUCGUUAUCAACAUUAAAAAAAAAUUGUG